rnacentral:rRNA from 1 species
AACGGAGGGGGCAAGUGUUGUCCGGAAUCACUGGGCGUAAAGGGCGCGUAGGCGGCUCAUGAAGGCUGUGGUGAAAGUCCGGGGGCUCAACCUCGGAUCGGCCUGGCGACUCGUGGGCUGGAGCACUGUAGAGGCGGGUGGAAUUCCGGGUGUAGCGGUGGAAUGCGUAGAGAUCCGGAAGAACACCAGUGGCGAAGGCGGCCCGCUGGGCAGUGGCUGACGCUGAGGCGCGACAGCGUGGGGAGCAAACAGG